rnacentral:lncRNA from 1 species
UGUCCAAUGUUAUUUGAAAAGCAAAAAUUCUUUGGAGAAUUACAAAUUCUCCAAAAUUACCCAGAAUUCAAAUCCCAUAUAGUUACCAACAGAGAAGAAAACAACUAACAAACAAAAACAGUAACUCAAAAGUUAAUCAAACUAAGAAUAGAGAAAGGGAAAUAUUAGAGACCCCAUCAAGAAGUGUCUUUGCCAUUUGUGUUUGCAACCCUAGCACCAGCAAAAUCUGUCACAAAGGUCUCCAAAAAAAUACUAAGUGAAGGAGCUACACAUUAUAGAUCUUUUUAGGAUACCAAAAAUAAUGUGUACCAGUAUUUCCCCU